CCUACGGGAGGCAGCAGUGAGGAAUAUUGGUCAAUGGGCGAGAUCCUGAACCAGCCAAGUCGCGUGAGGGAAGACGGUCCUACGGAUUGUAAACCUCUUUUGCCGGGGAGCAACGGGGUCCUUGCGAGGGCCCAAUGAGAGUACCCGGAGAAAAAGCAUCGGCUAACUCCGUGCCAGCAGCCGCGGUAAUACGGAGGAUGCGAGCGUUAUCCGGCUUUAUUGGGUUUAAAGGGUGCGCAGGCGGAAGCGCAAGUCAGCGGUAAAAUUGAGAGUCUCAACCUCUUCCCGCCGUUGAAACUGCGGUUCUUGAGUGGGCGAGAAGUACGCGGAAUGCGUGGUGUAGCGGUGAAAUGCAUAGAUAUCACGCAGAACUCCGAUUGCGAAGGCAGCGUACCGGCGCCCAACUGACGCUCAUGCACGAAAGCGUGGGUAUCGAACAGGAUUAGAUACCCCAGUAGUC
rnacentral:rRNA from 1 species